GAAGGUCAGGCUGAAGACCUUACCCGAUUAGCUGAGAGGUGGUGCAUGGCCGUCGUCAGUUCGUACUGUGAAGCAUCCUGUUAAGUCAGGCAACGAGCGAGACCCACGUCCACAGUUGCCAGCAUACCCUCCGGGGUGAUGGGUACACUGUGGAGACCGCCGCUGCUAAAGCGGAGGAAGGAGUGGGCAACGGUAGGUCAGUAUGCCCCGAAUCUCCCGGGCUACACGCGGGCUACAAUGGUUGGUACAAUGGGCAUCUACCCCGAAAGGGGAAGGAAAUCUCUUAAAGCCAAUCGUAGUUCGGAUUGAGGGCUGCAACUCGCCCUCAUGAAGCUGGAAUCCGUAGUAAUCGCGUUUCAACAGAACGCGGUGAAUACGUCUCUGCUCCUU
rnacentral:rRNA from 1 species